rnacentral:rRNA from 1 species
GGAGUUUGGACCGUCUCUCAGUUCCAAUGUGGCCGAUCACCCUCUCAGGUCGGCUACCGAUCGUCGACUUGGUGGGCCGUUACCUCACCAACUAUCUAAUCGGACGCGAACUCACCCCAAACUGGAUUGCUCCUUUUACCUCAUCCCCAUGCGAAAACGUGGUCUUAUGCGGUAUUAGCACCUGUUUCCAAGUGUUAUCCCCCUGUCUGGGACAGAUUGUUCACGCGUUACUCACCCGUCCGCCGCUGGAAUAACAUCUGCCGCCCCGAAGGACUUCCAACGUUAUCCCCGCUCGACUUGCAUGUGUUAAGCACGCCGCCAG